AGACAGAGACAGAGAGAAUCAGAGACAGAGACAGAGAAAGAAACAGCCUCGGACAGAAUUGGAGAAAUGUGACACAGGGAACGAGACAGAGACAGAGAGAAUCAGAGACAGAGACAGAGAAAGAAACAGCCUCGGACAGAAUUGGAGAAAUGUGACACAGGGAACGAGACAGAGAGAAUCAGAGACAGAGACACCCAGACAGGGAAUCAGAGACAGAGACACAGAGUGAGAGAGAGAAAGAAACAGCCUCGGACAGAAUUAGAGAAAUAGUGACACAGGGAACGAGACAGAGACAGAGAGAAUCAGAGACAGAGACGCACAGAGACAGAGACAGAGACAGAGACAGAGAAAGAAACAGCCUCGGACAGAAUUAGAGAAAUAUGACACAGGGAACGAGACAGAGACAGAGAGAAUCAGAGACAGAGACACACAGAGACAGAGACAGAGAAAGAAACAGCCUCGGACAGAAUUAGAGAAAUAGUGACACAGGGAACGAGACAGAGACAGAGAGAAUCAGAGACAGAGACAGAGACGCACAGAGACAGAGACAGAGA